rnacentral:rRNA from 1 species
GAUGAACGCUAGCGAUAGGCUUAACACAUGCAAGUCGAGGGGCAGCACAAGGUAGCUUGCUAUCUGGGUGGCGACCGGCGCACGGGUGCGUAACGCGUAUGCAACUUGCCCUAUACAGGAGGAUAACCCGUCGAAAGACGGACUAAUACUGCGUAUGCUCACAACUUGGCAUCAAGUGGUGAGGAAAGAAAUUCGGUAUAGGAUAGGCAUGCGUCCCAUUAGCUUGUUGGUGAGGUAACGGCUCACCAAGGCAACGAUGGCAGGGGAACUGAGAGGUUUAUCCCCCACACUGGUACUGAGACACGGACCAGACUCCUACGGGAGGCAGCAGUGAGGAAUAUUGGUCAAUGGGCGCGAGCCUGAACCAGCCAAGUCGCGUGAAGGAUGACUGUCUUAUGGAUUGUAAACUUCUUUUAGACGGGAAUAACAAGAGUCACGUGUGACUCCCUGCAUGUACCGUAUGAAUAAGCAUCGGCUAACUCCGUG